UGAUAAGUUUUGAAGUCAUUUGAAAAUAUUUAGAAAGCUUUUGAGCUAAGAAAAAUCAAGUUUGGAUGUAAAUUGAUUGAGAAGCGUUGAAUGGAGCAAUUUGAAUUGACUCUAACAAACUUCGAGUUGACUCUAGCAUGUUCUGACACUAUUUUAGAACUUGGCAUAGACUUCGAGUCGACUCCAAUAGGAUUUGAGUCAACUUUGGC
rnacentral:lncRNA from 1 species